GAAAAAUGUUGUGUGAGCUCAGCAGGUUUGAUUUUAAUUGAAAUAGUUAAUAUUUGAUUAAGAUACUUCUGACCACUCAAACUUUCCAAAGUGAUUAGAUACUGAAAAGUCAGUGUUAAAUAUUCCUUUGAAAGGGAGUGAAUGCAGCAUUGUCACCUUAUUGCAAGCUUUCAGCUUAGUGCAGUUUAUUUUAUGAUUUAAACAUUUAGCAUGCUUAAAUUAUAAAAUUAAUCAUACCAUUAACCUUAAAAUACGGUGGUCUAAGAGCAGGUUUCUGAAUACAUGUAACAGAUAAAUGGUCAAGUUGCAUUGCUGUUUCCCAAAUGGAAUAAUGUAAAUGCAGAUAAAAUGUUAUAUAAAGACAUUAAAAAACAACAACAACAAAACACCUUAAUCUUUUACGUGUGUUCUCAGUUUUGUUGUUCUUAACAGGAGCAAAGGAUUAGUAUGAAGAUGAGCUGACGUGGUGGCCUAAGAUUACAUCACCUCAGCAGGAUUUCUUUUGCUUGCUAAUUGCCAGCAGUGAAAAUGUACGGAGCCAAAUUGAUGAGGAAGAAAAGGUUUUAAAACCAAAGUGGCUAAAAGAAUUCCAGCCAUUGCAAGCUCUGAAUCACACUUGAGUGAUUGGCUUGAGUAGAAUGGCAUGCAGUCCCCCUUGGUGGGGAUAAAGAUGGACACAUAUUCUAAAGCUACAGAUCCAUCAAGACAAUCACUUACUGGUUCUCCAGGGACAACUGUCUUAUCCCGUAGUUUUUGGAUAUUGAAAGGGAUAGAUAUUGUUCCCACACACUGCAGAAUCAUGCUGGUCAAGAGGGAGCCUAAAAAAGAAGAUUGCUAG
rnacentral:lncRNA from 1 species